GGAGGGUUGACCCACCCUCCAUCCAUUGAGAGCUUCGAAAGCGCAAUGGGUGAGUCUCUUUGGCAAGAUCUUCACAGUUUCCAAGCAGCUCUUCAUGACAUGAUCCGGAGUCUGGUUGAACGGUCUGGAGGGUUUCUGAUCCUGUUCAAGUGCACACAGAACUAGCAGGUUCACCAGAAAAGCUAUUGAGCAUUUGCUGGAACACAUUAUGCAGGAUAUAUCUGAAAAACCUCUUCCCAGUGAACACUUAAAUUAGCAGAGGAGGCUCUUCACAGUUUAGAUAAGAUUGAAUAAAGACAACGGAUGCUCAAGCCAUUACUAUGGAGAUUCAACAACCAAGCGUGAACAGGGCCUGAACAACAGCAUCUAUGACAGAGAACAUUUCGGAAGAAAUCCCUUCAUUUUGUCCACAUGUCUACUUCGAAGCUGUGGGAGUCGGAGAGGAGAAGAAGGAGGAGUUGAUGGCUAUAUUGUUUCGUACAGUGUUACAUUGUACAACAGUGGAGGGGGCAAGGAGAGGAAACUGACCGUAACCUGGAAGAGCAGAGAUGAAGGAAAAGAGCUGCUUAGGGCACGGCGCAUGUCAGGAGUAGAUAGAGUUGCUAUGAGGAAGUUUGUUCUAGUCCUUUUAAGGUUUUAGAAAAUAUUUCUACUUUGAUUUCACAGAAUUUUAUUACUGAGAGGGAUUUUAGAACUUAUUUGCCACAACUUUUUUCACUUUUUUUUAGUCAGGUAGACAGUUGAGACCCAGAAGGGUCAGCAGUUCCUCCAACUUCACAAGUUGAGUGUAACCAAGUCGCGAUUGGGUCUUUUGAUUCCCUUUCUGAUUCAGCAGUAGCUCAUUGUGGGAUCUUGAGCCUGAUACAUUGCUGGUACUCUGCAAAUAUUUGAUGAAGGAAAGAAUGAAUUCCUGAAUGACUCUGUCUCCCAUACCUUUCGAUCGUGGACCAUUUUUGUACCCCCAGAUAAAGUCAAAAGAGAUCGUCGUGUGCUUUGCAGUUGGGCACAGAGAUGGAGAAAGCAAAGUUUCUAGUUCUGGAACAGAGACAUCAGAAGAAUGACCCCACUUCUUUUUAAAUUUUCUCUUUGCCAAGGGGGGAAUCAUUCAGCAGAGAUGUGUCUGCUGGGAGGGCCAGGUUCUGAAGUCAGCCACGAGAAGAAAAUCACAGAUAAUCAAAACUUCCCUUGAAGUUUUCUUAGGGAGGUACCAUGCCAAAGCCUGGUGGACUAUUUCUCAGCCAGUUUUCCCUCCAUCAUUGGAGCAGACAGCUGUUUUCUUGUUUGAGUACCAGUGAAGCAGUUAGCUUACAUUUUGAGGUCAUGUAUAUGAAAAAUGUGUAUUUUAAGCAGAAGACUACACAGGGAAGGUCCGUAGGCAUGGAGACAAACCUAGGGCAGAACAGAUUUGUUGGUCCUGUCUCAUGUUCACUCUGGGGCACCUGCUUUUUAAGACCAAUACCCAUUCCCUCUCUCUCUCUCUCUCUCUCUCUCUCGUAUAUAAUCCAACUUACAAAAGUUUAAUGUAUGUUAGAUUUCACUCCACUGUUCUACCUAGUACAUUGGGAAAGCUGAACUAAAUACUGACCCAGUAUCUAGAAUCAAAAUCUACAUUAAAGGUAUUUAUUUUAUCUUGUGGAACUUCUUAGAUAAAGAUGAGAGGUCUAAACUCUAUAAUUAGAUAAUUUUAUUGGCAGUGAUAUGAAUUAUUAUUAUUUUGCUGUGGAGGCUUAAAAAAGAGGAAGUUUUGGUAUAGAUAUGCCUGGGAAAAGGAGAAUAUAUUAUGUGAUGACUGAAUUUAGAGAAAUUUAAAUGCAAAAGGCAAUCAGCCUCUGACACUCUUGCCCUCUUUUCCCGUCUCUGAAAAAACAAAAACAAAAUCCCUGGUUUACUCAGAGUCCCUCUUUUAAGACUUGAUUCAGACAUCCAAGCCUUCUAUCCUCAAUAGGCUGUUUGUUGCUUUUCCUGCAUCUCUCUCCCUCUUUCUUCCCUUUCUUCCUACCCAUCUCCACUCCCAAUUCUCCAUUCCCAUUCUUUCUUAUGCUGCAGCUUCACUGUGGACACAGACCACAGCGUCAGGGAGGCUUUUUUAAGAAUUUCUUAAACUUACUAAAAAGUAAUAAACUCUUGCAGACAUUACGAAGGAGGACUUUGGACAGAGAUACCUAGCUGAUUUCCUGGAACAAUAGCUGGGGAAUUAUUUUUCGGCUCCAAGAGGAUAAUAUUUUAAGUUGCUAUAUGUUUGCUGAUCCUGGGGAGAGGGUUGGAACAAUCGAGCAUGCACGGGAAGCUUGGGCUCUUGGCCCAGUCGGCUCAGAGUCUAAAUAUUUGGAGGAUGAAUACUUGAAAAUGCAUUUAAACAUUUAAAACAUUUUAUUUGUUUUUCCAGGAAGUCGCAUUGUUAAUGCGAUACAAUUCUGCAGCAGGACUCUGUCUGCGGGAGGUGUGAACCUCCUGGACAAGCCCAGGCUCAGGCUCUACCUUAGGCCUUGGUGUGAAGCCAGAGAUGUGCAUGUCUAUUGGCUAAUGUCCACGCCUGUGAAGUGGGUUAUUAUUACAAUCGCUCACCUUCAAUGCCUGUGUUCUAAAGUCAUCCUAAGGGUCUGACCCAACUCUGCACUGAAACCAAGAAUGCAACUUCACACACACACACACACACACACACACACACACACCAUUUUCCAAAUCAAAUGCUGCAAUGUUUAUCUUCUUUUGUCAGUGCUGCCGCUUUAUUAUUAUUGCCAGCUUCCAAGUCUACACAGAUGGUCACCUGUGGUCAGUUUUCCUCUCCUGCCUAUGAGGCAACAUACCUUUGGGCUGGUAUAUGCUUAGAGAAUUCAAACUAAUAUGAAUGCAUUAGAUUAUGUAAAACGUAAUUAGGAAAGCAAAUUUGUUGUAAAAGCAGCCUAUGUGUUUAUAUAACUUACAAUCAAUUAGAAGCAACUGGGGGAUUUUCAAUGUUCUUUAGACACACAGAUAUAUUCCAGGACCUCAGUUAUGUCAACUAUUUGCCUAUCUCAAUCAAAUGAUCUAGAUAAUUGCCAAAUAUCUACUUUGCUAUGCUAUCAAGUCCCAAACUCUCAUUGUCUCGGUGGAAUGGAAGUGAGAAUCACCUUCACUUCUAAAAUUUGAAGUAGAAAGCGCUGGGGAGGGCUGAGGUAGAAAGAAGCAUGGGUGUGCACCCGACCUGGUAAUUGCCAUGGUAAGGUGUCUUAGACAACAUGAUAAUAACUCUCUCGAUAGAACUGGGGAUGCGGUAGCAACAGUAAAAAUUAUAUUAAACUGGGCCCGAUGCCCAGACUAUCAGCCUCAGAUAAACAAACUAUAAGAGAAGCAUUUCAAGAGGAGCUAACUUGUGAAUCAAGGAAGCUAAAACAGGCCAGAGAGGUGCUCGCUUGAGGAGACAAUGCUUUCACCUCCUUGGAAAAGCUGUGCCCAACCUAAUUAAAAUGCCCAAUCUAAUUAAAAAUCUAACCAUAAUCUCCCCGGUGGCCCUUCACUCCACCCCUUUCCAUUGUUAAGAUGCUAAUAGGGUCGCUUAGCUGAAAAAUUAUUAAACCAGAGACUAUUUGAGCACACACGCGUAAUCCCCAGCCUAGUGAAUUGGAGCGAAGAUGCUAGUGAUUUGUACAGCGAUGGUGGUGUCAUACAUCAGCAAUGAUGUAUGACAUGGAUUAGUGCAGAGCAGCCAUCUGCUGUUGAGGAGGGUGAUAGAAUCUGUUCCACAGCGGCAGAUGACUCCCCAGUGCUGGCCAGCUGGCUCAGAGUGGACGAAGUUGGGCAGGGUAAGUGAUGCCCCAGCGACCCUCUGGGGAAAUAACUCCAGGACCUCUCCCUUAGGUGCCUAUAUUUGUCCCUGCUGGCUUCAUGCAUACACAUAUGUCAUAGAGCUGACAUGAUGCAAUACACUUUAGAACAUGGAGAAGAAGGAAGAAGCACGUACCCACCAUAAAGUUUAAAAGUUGCUGGUCUUGAGCAUGAGAUGUGCCCUUGAGUCUCACGGUAGCCUGGACAAAAAGAGGAAACCUGAUAAAUCAUAUAGCUCACAUUAUCUGGGAAAAGAAGCAAGUCAGUUUCUUAGAAGAGAUAAAGUUUUUUCUUACUUUUUCACGUUUAACUUGAUAAAGAGGAGAAAUUGAAUUUCUCAGGGUGUAUAUUAGAAACUGUCAAACUGCUAGACUGCUUGGCCUAUUUACAGGGAAAGGACGAGAGCAUGGAUUCCCCAGUGACUAAUGAGAAAUAGGUAGCACUCAGCAGUUCCCUAAUAGGAUUGUGAUGUUUACCUUUUUCUCUUUGCAUAUCUGUAUUUUCUAAAAUUUCCACCAUCUGGGACUUCCCUGGUGGCACAGUGGUUGAGAAUCUGCCUGCCGAUGCAGGGGACACGGGUCCGAGCCCUGGUCCGGGAAGAUCCCACAUGCCGUGGAGCAACUAAGCCUGCGAGCCACAACUACUGAGCCUGCGCUCUAGAGCCCACGAGCCACAACUACUGAGACCAUGUGCCACAACUACUGAAGCCCACAUGCCUAGAGCCCAUGCUCCCCAACAAGAGAAGCCACUGCAGUGAGAAGCCUGUGCACCGCAACAAAGAUGCAACGCAGCCAAAAAUUAAAAAAACAGAAACAAAUAAAAUAAAAUUUCCACCAUAAACGUGCAUGACACUGUCAUAUAAAUGUGCUGGUUCUGGGUCUGCUUGACCUGAGGUCCAUUCCUCACUCUUCCUUCCCUGGCUGUGUAUUCAGGGGGCCUGACCCCUCCAGGCCAAUGUUCUCAGACCCCAUGUCAGCCGGCUCCCAACUGGGUUUGGCCCAUGGAGGCUCUAGUGGGAGUUUGGAGAACAGGAGGGAGGUUGAAGUUAGGGUAUUUCUCCCUCUCUCUCAGUCCUAGGUGGUAUCUCUGGCAGCUGCUGCCUCUCUUCCUUGGUUCCAUCUCUCACAGGAAACCUGCCAUAGUUCCUGCUUCCUCUGGGUAAUCCCAGGCCCAGGGCUCGGGUAGCAUCACCUCCUCCCUUUGUCCCUCCAGCCUGGGAGUGGUGGCGACUUCCUGCUGUGGCUAGACUCUGGAUUGCCUCACCAUCCCUUGUUUGGCUUUUAAGUUUCUUUCAUCUCAUUGCACUAAACUUCCUCUGUUCUAAAUAUUCAGAGUGGUUUCUGUCUUCCUGGUUGGGCCCUGACACAAAGAAACAAAAAUGUAUUUGAAACAAAAAUGAACGGGGCAAAAGAAUUUAGAGGAACUUGAGCUGGAGAAGUAACUGAAGAAGCAAAAGCCGAUAGAUCAUGGCAGCACACACAAAGCAAAGUCUGGGCUUGGUGCACACCAGCUGGAAAGGACUUCCGGUCACGUACGGGCCUUUUUAGGCACAUUUACGCACACGAAUUACAAUUUUACUUAGAGUUGUCAGCUCCAGAAGUGAAGGAUAACAAUAUGUCAGUUACAGAGAAAAAACAAACAACCCCCCUCUCAACCCCCAUAAGAUUUGGAGUCCUACGUCGUUCAAGUCCCAUAGAAUUCAAUUCCUGGCUUGUGGUGGAUACUGUGGUUGACUCUGCAGCCUCCAUUCCACCCCUCCCACAUGGCAUAGCAGCUGUGGGGUUUGGAGGGGACUGAUCCAACCUCUAGCUUCUGGGUUGUGGUCUUGGUUGACAUGGUCACUGGAUCAUGUACCCCAGGCCUCAGCCAAUCAGUACCUGGUAUUCCCCUGGCCACUGGUGCAACAAAAUGAAGCCGGGGUCUCAUGUUUGAUGAUUGGAGAAAGAAAAGUUCUUUCUCCUUCUAGAUAGUGUGGUGGGCCCUGAAACUGCUCCAGCAUUUUGCUGCUAAAUGGAAAAAGAGACUCAGAAUAGAGCUGACACAAAAAGAAGGGUAAAUCCAACACAAUCAAAAUAAAACAGCUGGAUUUCUGAUCAAACUGUGCCUGAAGCCCACCGCACUACUGAACUUUUUCUGUUCUAGAGUUUCUCUAUUCUAUUUACUGUUUAGUACAUUUUGAUUUGGAUUUUAUGUUACUUGCAACCAAAAACAUGCUAGAUGAGACAUAGAAAUAUUGUCUUAUUGACUGUGUGGCCUUGGGCCAGUCACUGAAUCUUUCUGACCUUCAGUUUCCUCAUCUAUAAAAUGGAACUAUAAGAUGAUUUAUCUUAAGGAAUUUUUGUGAGGAUCAAAUGAGGUAAUAAAUGAGAAGGUGCUUUGUAAAUUGUAAGCAGUUAUUUGAAUCUUCUUAUCACACGUAUAAUUUACUUCAAUUGUUAGUGCAGUUUUAGAUCUCUCCUACAUAUAAAUAAUUAAUUUUAUCAAGCAUAAUUUCUGUAAUAAUUACUUCAUUGCUGUAUUGUGAGCGUUCAUCAGAAUUAAUCGGUAAUAGCCAUAUUUCACUCUGUGUAGCCCUAAAUAAUUUACUUUUGAAAUCCCGGUUGAUCUAUGUAAUCUUGAAAGGAUUUACCUCAAAACUCUCAGCCAAGUGGACAUGAGUUGAGUUAACUCCUCUGCGUGACCACGCAUCACUCACUUGUAAAACGUGUGGUUUUCAUUGCCAUCUGGAGCAACCCGUGAAAAGUGGGUGUGCAGCAUUCCUCUCACAGUGUGAAAGUUUGGGCACAUCCAAAAAGGUCCAGCUGGUCAGCUCUGCCCUUGCAUUUUCUUGGAGUUGCUGCCCUGAGGCUGUUUGGUAACCUGAGAGAGCGGUUUACACAGGAAUCUUUGAAAGGGCUGCAAAACCAGGAGCGCCCAGGGGAACAACACAUAGUGUUUAGGUUUUUGUAAUAACAAAAUAUUAAGGGUAAUUAAUUUAUCAAACCUAAUUAGAUAAGGUGUCUAACAUUUAGGGCAAUGAAAAUAAAAGUACACAAGAAGUAUGCUUUAUGUUUUUCUUCCAAUAAUUGGCAUAUCUUAGGACAGGACCUGGGAUGACCUUGCUGACUAUGGUGGGUCAGGGCAGACAAAGAAUGACUGGGACUAAGAACUUGACCCUCCCAUGGGGCUGGGACAAGCCCAGAGGACAAGACCUGCAAGUUCAGCCCUGAUUUUUCUCACCAAGCACUGUUGAUUCUACCUCCCAACCAGACUUCCCAUCUCCCCCUUCUCUGUCUGCCUUGCCACUGAGUUGGGUCAGGUCCUCAUUACAUGUCUCCUGGGCUAGUCUCUCUGCUCCCAGCCUCAACCCAUCUCUAUUCAUCCUCCACCCUGCUAUAGGAAUCAUCUUUUAAAAUUACACUAUGCUGCCCCGCCCCCUUCCUCCCUUAAAACUUUUCACUGGCUCCCUAUGGCUGAUCCUAUAAAGCCCAAAGCCCUUAGCAUGGCAAGACCUUGUGGGAUCUGACUUCUCUUAACAACCAAUCCAGUUUCUCUCCCACCUCCCUUUCCCCCACCCCGCUCCUCAAGUUCCUUCCAAAUCAAAUCAGAGUCCUGGGACAUAGCUCUUCAAGGCCAGUGGUUAUCACAGUUUGACCGUCAUAAAAAUUACUUGGGUUUGUUUAAAAUACAACUUCCUGAGCUGCAUCCUCACAAGAUUAUGAUCCAAAGGGCCGCAUCUGGGAAUCUGAAAUUUCACAAGAACCUUGGCAAAGUCAGGUGCAGGUGGUCCUCAGACUGUCUCUGGAGAAACACUGUAUGAUAACACUUAUCACAUUGUAGUCCACGUCUUUUCACAUCUGUCUCCAACUGAAAGCAAACAAAGAAAGAAAGUCAGAUUUCCAAAUUACACCCCAGAGUCACCGAAUGAGACUUUGGAUGUGUGGAGGGGAUUUCAGAGCUCUUUAUACCAAAAGUUAUGAAAUUUUAUCAUCAUGGAUCCAUGCAUGAGAUUUCCUCCCCCCCUUAUUCACCCUGGUUGUUACCCAGUGGGAUAUUUCUAUUUAAAGAAUAACAUUUUUUCAGCUUAGAAAAAAUAUCUUCUACUAUCAUUUCUUUGCUUAUCUCUUCACCUCCGUCUCUCUGGUCUCUGUCUGUCACUUCUAUUAGGUGGAUAUUGGAAUUUCUGGGUCUAAUUUCUGAUGUCUCCAACUUUUUCGUAUUUUCAUUUAUUUUUCCUUUAGUAUGGUGUUCUGGAACAAUUUCCCAGCAUACUUUGCUGCCUAAGUGCUGUACUCUGAUGUGUUCUUUCUGUUAUUCAGCACAUCUAUUGAGAUUUUCAUUUUUAUUUUGAUUAUUGUAUUAUUCAUUUCUAAGAUCUAUAAAUGCUUAUUGGCACAACAGCCUUUUCUUGCUUAGGAAAUGUCAUAGCAUCCUUAAUUCUCUAGACUAUUCCAUGUACAGUACUUCUUUCAAAGUUUUUUUCUGUUUAUUUUAUUUACUCUGUUUCUUUGGAUGUUGGUUCUUAGAUUUGUUUAGUUUGCUUUUCCUUUCAUGAUGUUGAUUUUCCUUACAUAUUUGGUGAUUCUGGAUUGUGCACUCAUCUCCGUAUUUGAUAAUCUUUGUUUUUUCUAGGUCAGGGCCCACACACCAUGGCCCAUGGGCCAAAUUUGCCUGCUGCCUAUUUUGAAAAUACAGUUCUUUUGGAACAUAGACACACUCAUUCAUUUAUGAAUAAUCAAUGGCUUCUUUUGUGCCACGAUGGCAGCAUUGAGUAGCCCUCAAAGACUAGAAUAUUGAUUAUCAGACCCCUUACAGAAAAACUCUGCUGGAUCUGGCCAUCACUUUAUAGGAACUACAGCUCAGAGAGAAACAUAGUAAGCAAUGGUUGGUUGAUUGAUCCAUCAACUAAAGCAGAAUGUGAGUUAUUCUAUAAGACAAAAGACAGUUUUUUCACAGAUAAGUGGCGUAAAAAUGAAAAAAAAAAAGAAGAAAUUCAUGUGGAUUAAAAGAUAUUUAACAGAAAUAUCAACCAAAAGCAAUGUGUAACCCUUGCUUGGCUCCUAAUUUAAACAGGAUCCGAAUUUAAAUUUUACUUUUUUAUAAAGUAAAAUUUUGAAACAAUGGGAGAAAAUCAAAUAUGAUCCAGUGUUUCUGAAUUUUACUGAUGCGAGACAAAUCACCCUACCACUUGGUGGCAUGAAACCACCACAGUGUUUUCAUGGUCACAGGGUCUGUGGGUCAGGGCAUAGUGGAGAUGUCUGGAGUCUCAGCUGGGAAGACUUGAAAGGCCAGGCUCAGCUGGGAAUGUUGAUUGGACACCUACCUGUGGCCCCUCAGGUGGCUGGAUUCUGAGAGGGACCAUCUUGAGAUGGAGCUCUGGAGAGUAAGCGCUGUAAGAGGACCAGGCGGAAGCGAGGAGACUGCCCUUUCUAACCUUGCCUUCAGAGUCAGGCGGCUUCUCACGCCUAUCCUUCCAGUGAAUGGCGAAGGCCAGUGCCGAGUCAAGAGGAGGGGAUGGAGACGUCUCCUCUUGUUGGCAAAGUCACCUGAAAGCAUUUUUGGAAAAUGCAAUUUGCCACAACCGGCUAUUAGAUGAUGUUAAUAAAAAAUUAUUGUCAUUGUUUCCUUGUAGUGUUUUCAUGGAUUUGUUUUUUAAAAAGUCCUUUAUGUGUUAGAGAGUCACACUGAGUAUUUAUGAGUGAAAUGAUAUGAUAUUUGGUAUUUGCUUUAAAAUACUCCAGGAAAAAAAUAAUAAAGGUAGCAGUGGUAGUGGCAUAGAGAAAACGAGAAUGACAGAAUGCUAGUUGUUGUUGAAGCUGGGUAGUGUAUACUGGUUGUUUGUAAUGUUCUCUUUAAUUUGUAUGUGUUUGAAAAGUUCUUAUAUUAAAAACAAAAAAGAAAAGAAAAAGUCUUGUUGCCUGUUUAUGAAUGCUCUUUCCACCUCCAGCAGUUGUGGGUGAGUCAGAGCCUCGGUGCUCAGGGGGGGAGCAUUGGUCACUCAUCUGCCAACUUUAGGGGCUCCCUGUUCUUUCUGGGUGUUACCGAUGCCGUGAGGCAUUUCCCUCCCUCUUCCUGCUAAGGGCUUAUGCUCGCUGUUCUAGCCUGAGGCAAACACAUUACCAUCUACUUCUUGGCACUAUUUGGUGGAGGAGAGGGACCUCCCAGAUUGACGACCAGGAUUAGGUUAUUAUAAUCCCCCAUGACUGCCCCACUUCUCCCUCCUUUUCCUCCUAUCUGUUCCCUCUGUGUUUGGAGUGCACCAGGGGCCACUUCUACACGUGCACCAGUCUCCCAGGAACAUGACUUUUGGUGUAAUUUGCUUUGUCAAUUUGGUCUUCUCUGCUUUCUCUAUUUCAAGGAUUACUUAAAAUUUCUGAUCUGAUGAUAGCAUGUUUUUUUGUAGUGUUAUUAUGGAUCUGACAUUACCUCCUCCCAAUGCCAACCCUCCCCCAGCAACAAAUAUCUCACUUUUCUGUCAUUUUUAGAGAUGUUGAUUGGAAUGGAAAACUAUUCAUAAGCAAUCAGUUGGCCAUUUUGAUUCCAUACCUCCAAGUUUUUUUUUUUGUUUGUUUGUUUUGUUUUGUUUUUUUGCGGUACGCGGGCCUCUCACUGUUGUGGCCUCUCCCGUUGCGGAGCACAGGCUCCGGACGCGCAGGCUCAGCAGCCAUGGCUCACGGGCCCAGCCGCUCCACGGCAUGUGGGAUCCUCCCGGACCGGGGCAUGAACCCGUGUCCCCUGCAUCGGCAGGCGGACUCUCAACCGCUGUGCCACCGGGGAAGCCCCCCUGAUGGGCCUUUUAAUUUGAAGACUUGUGACUGUCUUCAGCUCUGGGAAUUUUCAACUCUUUUUCAAAAAAUUUCCAGUUUUGCUAUCAUAUGCCUUUAUUUAUUCUGUUUAGGACUUUGUUGGCUGUCCUUUUGUGACUACAGUGGAAUAUCUAUUAGGAUUUUUCACUCUACGCUCUGUAUCUCACCUUCUCUUUUCCAUCUUCAACCUUUUGCUUCUCCAUGCUACACUCUGGACAUUUUAUUCUUAAAUAUCUUUUGGUUCACUAAUUCUUU